rnacentral:rRNA from 1 species
UAAUAGUUAUGGGGAGUCUGUCCGAUAGAGGGGGAUAACUACUGGAAACGGUGGCUAAUACCGCAUAAUGUCUACGGACCAAAGCAGGGGCUCUUCGGACCUUGCACUAUCGGAUGAACCCAUAUGGGAUUAGCUAGUAGGUGGGGUAAAGGCUCACCUAGGCGACGAUCUCUAGCUGGUCUGAGAGGAUGAUCAGCCACACUGGGACUGAGACACGGCCCAG